AUGCCCAUUCUGGCAGCACAUACAUUAAAAUUGGGAUGAUACAGAGAUUAGUAUGGCUCCUGCACAAAGUGUGAAUGCCCUCCUAGUGGGAACACAGGCAUUU
rnacentral:snRNA from 1 species